GGGUCAGUAGGUUGGUCGUGCCACCGGUACGUACUGGUCUCACUGAUUCCUCCUUCCUGAAGAAUCGUAAUGCCAUUAAUUUGGUGUUGCGGGGAAACAGGACUGUUACUUUGAAAAAAUUAGAGUGUUUAAAGCAAGCUAAUGCUUGAAUACAUUAGCAUGGAAUAAUGAAAUAGGACGAUCGAUCCUAUUUUGUUGGUUUCUAGGAUUGACGUA
rnacentral:rRNA from 1 species